rnacentral:rRNA from 1 species
CCUAGGGGGGGCAGCAGUGAGGAAUAUUGGUCAAUGGGCGCGAGCCUGAACCAGCCAAGUAGCGUGAAGGAUGACUGCCCUACGGGUUGUAAACUUCUUUUAUAUGGGAAUAAAAUGUUCCACGUGUGGGCUUUUGUAUGUACCAUAUGAAUAAGGAUCGGCUAACUCCGUGCCAGCAGCCGCGGUAAUACGGAGGAUCCGAGCGUUAUCCGGAUUUAUUGGGUUUAAAGGGAGCGUAGGUGGAUUGUUAAGUCAGUUGUGAAAGUUUGCGGCUCAACCGUAAAAUUGCAGUUGAAACUGGCAGUCUUGAGUACAGUAGAGGUGGGCGGAAUUCGUGGUGUAGCGGUGAAAUGCUUAGAUAUCACGAAGAACUCCGAUUGCGAAGGCAGCUCACUGGACUGCAACUGACACUGAGGCUCGAAAGUGUGGGUAUCAAACAGGAUUAGAUACCCGAGUAGUC